rnacentral:rRNA from 1 species
GAGUUUGAUCAUGGCUCAGGACGAACGCUGGCGGCGUGCCUAAUACAUGCAAGUCGAGCGGAGAAUUUGGAGCUUGCUCCAAUUUCUCAGCGGCGGACGGGUGAGUAACACGUGGGCAACCUGCCCUGCAGAUCGGGAUAACUCCGGGAAACCGGUGCUAAUACCGGAUAGUUUGAUGCCUCUCCUGAGGCGUCACGGAAAGACGGCGUCUCGCUGUCACUGCAGGAUGGGCCCGCGGCGCAUUAGCUAGUUGGUGGGGUAACGGCUCACCAAGGCCACGAUGCGUAGCCGACCUGAGAGGGUGAUCGGCCACACUGGGACUGAGACACGGCCCAGACUCCUACGGGACGCAGCAGA